rnacentral:rRNA from 1 species
GACGAACGCUGGCGGCGUGCUUAACACAUGCAAGUCGAACGAGACGACUGAAAGCUUGCUUUUAAAAGUCGAGUGGCAAACGGGUGAGUAACGCGUAGACAACCUGCCUUUGAGAUGGGGACAACAGUUCGAAAGGACUGCUAAUACCGAAUGUUGUAUAUUUUCCACAUGGAAGAUAUAUUAAAGAUGGCCUCUAUUUAUAAGCUAUCGCUCAAAGAUGGGUCUGCGUCUGAUUAGCUGGUUGGUGGGGUAACGGCCUACCAAGGCGACGAUCAGUAGCCGGUCUGAGAGGAUGGACGGCCACAUUGGGACUGAGACACGGCCCAGACUCCUACGGGAGGCAGCAGUGGGGAAUCUUCCACAAUGGACGAAAGUCUGAUGGAGCAACGCCGCGUGAGUGAAGAAGGGUUUCGGCUCGUAAAGCUCUGUUGUCGGGGACGAAUGUGCAGUAUUUGAAUAAAGUACUGCAAUGACGGUACCUGACGAGGAAGCCACGGCUAACUACGUGCCAGCCGCCGCCGUAA